rnacentral:tRNA from 1 species
GCGAUAGAGUGUCUAUUCAAGUUAGAUUUGAAAUCUAACUAAUCAUAAGUAAUUUAUGACUAUUGUU